rnacentral:rRNA from 1 species
GGUUGAUCCUGCCAGUAGUCAUAUGCUUGUCUCAAAGAUUAAGCCAUGCAAGUCUAAGUAUAAAUCAUUUUAAAUAGUAAAACUGCGGAUGGCUCAUUAAAUCAGUUAUAGUUUAUUUGACAAACUCUUUUACUUGGAUAACUGUAGUAAAUCUAGAGCUAAUACAUGCGAAAAGAUCUGGUUCCAUCUUUGAUGGAAGAAGAUUGUAUUUAUUAGACUAAAAACCAUAUUUUUUUUUUAAUAUUGUUGCGGCGUUUAAAAUGAUUGAUUGAAUUUAUAUUAUAAACUAAA